CCUACGGGAGGCAGCAGUAGGGAAUCUUCCACAAUGGGCGAAAGCCUGAUGGAGCGACGCCGCGUGGGUGAAGAAGGUCUUCGGAUCGUAAAACCCUGUUGUUAGAGAAGAAAGUGCGUGAGAGUAACUGUUCACGUUUCGACGGUAUCUAACCAGAAAGCCACGGCUAACUACGUGCCAGCAGCCGCGGUAAUACGUAGGGGGCAAGCGUUAUCCGGAUUUAUUGGGCGUAAGGGGAACGCAGGCGGUCUUUUAAGUCUGAGGUGAAAGCCUUCGGCUUAACCGGAGUAGUGCAUUGGAAACUGGGAGACUGGAGUGCAGAAGAGGAGAGUGGAACUCCAUGUGUAGCGGUGAAAUGCGUAGAUAUAUGGAAGAACACCAGUGGCGAAAGCGGCUCUCUGGUCUGUAACUGACGCUGAGGUUCGAAAGCGUGGGUAGCAAACAGGAUUAGAUACCCUUGUAGUC
rnacentral:rRNA from 1 species